ensembl:lncRNA
GGUAGCUCAGAGGUUAAAGCGUCUGCCUGGAAUGCGGGAGACCUGGGUUCUAUCCCUGGGUCGGGAAGAUCCACUAGAGAAGGAAAUGGCAACCCACUCCAGUACUACUGCCUGGAAAAUCCCAUGCAGAGAGGGAGAAACCUGGUAGGCUACAGUCCAUGGGGUCGCAAAGAGUCAUACACUACUGAGCGACUUCACUUACUUACUUAAAGGUCAGGAGACCGUUAGCCUGGUGGUUAAAGGUCUUCCUGCUCCACUGAUGAUUAGCCUAGCGGUGGUCCUCUUGGCAGAGUGCAGCAAGACGUGGCCCUGGGUCUUAUUCCGUGGCCCUCCAGGCCCUUUGGCCUCAGCACCAUUGGGUGAGCUGGGGGCCCAGGACAGGCUGAGGACCCAGAACAGGCUGAGGAUUGUGUCUCACAGAACUCUGGAGCCCCCGUGAAGGCCGGAGCCUCCCUUACCACCACCCACCGGCCAGGUCCAGACCUGGAAGCAGCCAGGAACCUCACCCCCUUCCACGCUCUGAUCCCUGGAGUCCUCAGCAGCUGGAGGAUAUUACAGGAUCAUUAAGUGGUCAUGUAUGGAUAUGAGAGUUGGACUGUGAAGAAAGCUGAGCACCGAAGAAUUGAUGCUUUUGAACUGUGGUGUUAGAGAAGACUCUUGAGAGUCCCUUGGACUACAAGGAGAUCCAACCAGUCCAUUCUGAAGGAGAUCAGCCCUGGGUGUUCUUUGGAAGGAAUGAUGCUAAAGCUGAAACUCCAGUGCUUUGGCCACUCAUGCGAAGAGUUGACUCAUUGGAAAAGACCCUGAUGCUGGGAGGGAUUGGGGGCAGGAGGAGAAGGGAAUGACAGAGGAUGAGAUGGCUGGAUGGUAUCACCGACUCGAUGCACAUGAGUUUGGGUAGACUCUGGGAGUUGGUGAUGGACAGGGAGGCCUGGCGUGCUGCGAUUCAUGGGGUCGCAAAGAGUCGGACACGACUGAGCGACUGAACUGAACCGAACUGAAUAACAGUAGGGUAAAUCAUCUAUGUUUAGUCACACCUACCAUCCUUCCUAU